UCAGUGAGCAGGUACUGUGAAUGAAAUCCAGCCGCACUGUAGUCAAUGACAAAAAUCUCAGCCACUCCAGUAAGAUACUGCACCCGCAGAACCCAAUUCUUCUCACUUCCACUGUUGAAAAAUCAGGAGUAACGCUAAAGCUAGCAUGAAAGAAGGAUUGAUAGCACAGGAUCUGAGCUUCUUGUCAGUGGAAUGCAUCAUUCAACAUUGGGAAUACCAAGUUCUUACCAAAUCCUCAUGUCAUUCAAUGAUGAUUUCUCUCUUAAGAGUGUGGGUGUGAUGAAGAAAGAAAGGUGAAGGCAAACAAGAUAGAGCAAUCUUGAGAGAGAAAGCGAGAGCCAGUCUUGUGUCUGGCCUGGAAAGGAAUUUGAAUGCUGACUCAGCUUCAGGACCUAUUCAAACCUGCCAUUAGCAGAAAGUGCCACUGAGAAUCAAUUCACUAUUUAUCUUGAGAGAGAAAGAAAUAUUGCUUGGGCAGAGGUGUUUCCAACUUUUAAGAUGACCUCAAACUGGCCAGGAGAAAAAUCAAGUGGAGAGCAUUUCAGAAAUAGCGAAUUCCCACAACGGCUAGUAAUCUUCACCAAAAGCAGUUAAAUUCCUCUUGACCUAGGAGGAAUGACUAUCCUCAAUAGUUUUUCCUAUGCAGUAUAUGUAACAUGACAAAAUCAAGAGAAUGACGACAAGAGAAAUAAAAUCAUACCUAAUAGCAGUUAA